UAAUGUAUGGGGAUCUGCCCGAUAGAGGGGGAUAACUACUGGAAACGGUGGCUAAUACCGCAUAAUGUCUACGGACCAAAGCAGGGGCUCUUCGGACCUUGCACUAUCGGAUGAACCCAUAUGGGAUUAGCUAGUAGGUGGGGUAAAGGCUCACCUAGGCGACGAUCUCUAGCUGGUCUGAGAGGAUGAUCAGCCACACUGGGCUGAGACACGGCCCAG
rnacentral:rRNA from 1 species